rnacentral:rRNA from 1 species
UGGCGGCGUGCCUAACACAUGCAAGUCGAACGGAAAAUUGAGCUUCGGUUCAAUUUUUAGUGGCGAACGGGUGAGUAACGCGUAGGCAACCUGCCCUUUAGACGGGGACAACAUUCCGAAAGGGAUGCUAAUACCGGAUGUGACGCUCUUAUCGCAUGACGGGAGCGUGAAAGAUGGCCUCUACAUGUAAGCUAUCGCUAAAGGAUGGGCCUGCGUCUGAUUAGCUAGUUGGUAGUGUAACGGACAACCAAGGCGAUGAUCAGUAGCCGGUCUGAGAGGAUGAACGGCCACAUUGGGACUGAGACACGGCCCAGACUCCUACGGGAGGCAGCAGUGGGGAAUCUUCCGCAAUGGGCGAAAGCCUGACGGAGCAACGCCGCGUGAGUGAAGAAGGUCUUCGGAUUGUAAAGCUCUGUUGUACAUGACGAAUGUGCCGGUUGUGAAUAAUGGCUGGUAAUGACGGUAGUGUACGAGGAAGCCACGGCUAACUACGUGCCAGCAGCCGCGGUAAUACGUAGGUGGCAAGCGUUGUCCGGAAUUAUUGGGCGUAAAGAGCAUGUAGGCGGCCUAUUAAGUCGGGCGUGAAAAUGCGGGGCUCAACCCCGUAUGGCGCCCGAUACUGGUGGGCUUGAGUGCAGGAGAGGAAAGGGGAAUUCCCAGUGUAGCGGUGAAAUGCGUAGAUAUUGGGAGGAACACCAGUGGCGAAGGCGCCUUUCUGGACUGUGUCUGACGCUGAGAUGCGAAAGCCAGGGGAGCGAACGGGAUUAGAUACCCCGGUAGUCCUGGCCGUAA